AUCCCCAUGACCCAUAUGUUGCUUAGAAUCAAAUCUGUUUCUCGACCACCCGGUAUAUAGAUAUGAUUAACCUUUCAGCGCCGUUAGCUCGUUCGGGUUGUGUAUUCGCUUCGAUCAAUGGUGCCACCGAGCGCAACACACGAAUCGCAGAAACGAACAUGGAAAAAUCACGGCGAUUAUUCCGAGGAUUAUGUUAGGUCGUUGACUCCGCGAGCUCUUCCGGUAUCCUCUUACACCAAUUGAUAAAUUAUCCAACUUGAUAAAGGAAGAAAAUAUAUCAAGAUGGGAGCUGUGAGAUGGUCCAACAAAUCUUUCUUCUUUGGAAGUCAAGAUAUGAUUAGAAACUUGGUUCAUUUAAAUAAGUACAAUAGUGAUUUAUCUUGUGUGAUAAGAAAAAAAAAUUUUGAAAAAUGAUGAAAUUCUAGUAUUCUGGUAAGGUAUUUGUCGCUUUCUGUUAGUCCAUGCGAAUAGGUAUGCGAAAAGAUAUACUUAUUGUUGAAGCGUGUUCAUAAACUGCGACCCAGUAAAACUAAUAAAUCUGUGAAUACGCUUAAUUAAUGCGCCACGGCGGAAUAACGCGGCUAAAUGAUCAACGAUGCGCGGAGUUAAUGACGCUAAUGAGACAGUUUUAGCCAUAUAAUCUAAUUUCAUAGAAUCGUACGUGUCAAGAGUAAAAUUUUUGAGAGUUUUGGAAAGUGGAGGAAAG